AAACCCCUCUCCCAUGUCUCUCCCAUGUUCACAAAAGGUCUUCUCUCUUCUUUCUUACAUGGAAGGUGGUUUGGAUCAAAUCUAAAAGGAAUAAGUUUGGAUUUCGAAUUCUAUGAGAUAGAGUUUUAGAAAUCCAAAACUCUUUCAAUUUUGCACCGAAUUUAUCCAAAUUUUUUUUGAAAUUUUCAUGGCUUUUAGGGUAUAUAUUGUGCACCCUUUUUUGAUGAUCCAUGCAUAAAAAUAUGAAGGAGGUGCUCAAGAGUUGGGCAUCCCUUAACUUGCCAUGUUUGGAUAAGCCUUG
rnacentral:lncRNA from 1 species